rnacentral:rRNA from 1 species
UCCUACGGGUGGCUGCAGUGGGGAAUAUUGGGCAAUGGGCGAAAGCCUGACCCAGCGACGCCGCGUGGGUGAUGAAGGCCUUCGGGUUGUAAAGCCCUUUCGUGCGGAAAGAACAGUCCCGUAGUGAAUAUCUACGGGAUUUGACGGUACCGCAGGAAGAAGCACCGGCUAACUCCGUGCCAGCAGCCGCGGUAAUACGGAGGGUGCAAGCGUUGUUCGGAAUUAUUGGGCGUAAAGGGCGCGUAGGUGGUUGUGAUAGGCAGAUGUGAAAUCCUCUGGCUCAACUGGAGAACUGCAUCUGAAACUUCAUAACUCGAGUACAGGAGAGGGAAACGGAAUUCCCGGUGUAGAGGUGAAAUUCGUAGAUAUCGGGAGGAACACCAGUGGCGAAGGCGGUUUCCUGGCCUGAUACUGACACUGAGGCGCGAAAGCGUGGGGAGCAAACAGGAUUAGAUACCCUAGUAGUC